rnacentral:rRNA from 1 species
GACGAACGCUGGCGGCGUGCCUAAUACAUGCAAGUUGAGCGAUGAAGAUUGGUGCUUGCCCCAAUUUGAAGAGCAGCGAACGGGUGAGUAACGCGUGGGGAAUCUGCCUUUGAGCGGGGGACAACAUUUGGAAACGAAUGCUAAUACCGCAUAACAACUUUAAACAUAAGUUUUAAGUUUGAAAGAUGCAAUUGCAUCACUCAAAGAUGAUCCCGCGUUGUAUUAGCUAGUUGGUGAGGUAAAGGCUCACCAAGGCGAUGAUACAUAGCCGACCUGAGAGGGUGAUCGGCCACAUUGGGACUGAGACACGGCCCAAACUCCUACGGGAGGCAGCAGUAGGGAAUCUUCGGCAAUGGACGAAAGUCUGACCGAGCAACGCCGCGUGAGUGAAGAAGGUGUUCGGAUCGUAAAACUCUGUUGGUAGGGAAGAACGUUGGUGAGAGUGGAAAGCUCAUCAAGUGACGGAAACUACCCAGAAAGGAACGGCUAACUACGU